GUUUGUGCACAGGGUGUUGCCCCUUUUGCUGCUGAAACCCUGAGACUGCCAUGUAAAGAAGCUUGAACUAGCCUACUAGAGGAUGAGACGCCACAUGGAGAAUGCCCCCAGCUAUUCCAGCUAAGGUCUCAGAGAUGUGAGUAAAGCCAUCCUGGGCCGUCUUGAGGGACCAUAUAGAGGGAGGCCUCAGCCAUCCACCCAUCCUUGUCAGCUGCCAGACAUGUGAGUGAGACCGUCUGAGAUCCAUCAGCCCCGGACCUAGAAUCGGCCAUUUCUCUGAGGAGUCCUGGGGAUGCACUGAAGCACACAAUCUGGGCUCCCAAACAGAUCCUGAGAUGACAUUGCUGACAGGCCACUCUGCUUAUUGAGAUGUAAUCUGGAGCCUGCAACGCCUUCUGCCGUCCUCAAACCCCUGGUUCUAGUCUUUGUUCUCAAGUCUGCUCACCGUGGUUCUCACUCAAGACGCAACCCUCUCCUGUGUUUGACCAUUUGGUGGGUUUGCAGCUUGUAGUACAUUUCAGAACUCCCCUUCCUUCCUGUUGCACCAUUGUGGAUUUCACGCCAGUUUCUGCUACCUUUGGGUUUGGGGUUUUCUGUCUCCUGAAGAUGUUGUCCAUGAGUUUAGACUUUUGCUCUCCCUGUUGUGCGCCCUGCUUUUCAGAAGCUAAAGUAGAAAGGCUACAACCUGAGCUGCCAUCAAUCCCUCUACUCAAUCUUCACUCCAAACAAAGGUUGGGCCAGUGAGCAGGUUGAUCAGAAGGAUCAUCCUCCUGAUCACUGUUAUUGGUCAGGGAAGGGCACUGAUCUAAAUCUAUUCAAUCAAAAGCCAUCUGGGACUUUUCCUAGAACUGUUGAGCUCGAGGGGCUGAAUGGAUGAAAGCCUGGAACUGCUAGGAGCUCUCUGGCUCCGUCAUGGAGAGAAUCUGGCUGAAACUGAAACCAACAUGGAGGAGAGGAUAAAAGGUUGAGAGAGACAGAUUUCUGAGGACCUUAUUGAACACUGGGGUCCAGCUUUAUCUGAAACCAGCCCAAACCUAGGUUUUUCAUUUACGUAAUUUUUGAAAAGUCCUUUUAAUUAAAUAAAGCAAUUAAGAUGAAGCAUCUAUCCCAGUGAGUGGCACACAGUAAGUCCCCAACAUAUGCUAUUAUUAUCUUUGAAAACUAAUUUGUUAGGUUUCUAUCAUUUGCAAGUGCAAUAAUAAUAACAAAAGAAAAUAAUUCCAAAGAUUUCUGGGAAUUGUGCAAGGCACUUUAUGUAUUAUUUCACUAAAUCCUCACUUCAUGCCCUGACAUAAGGAUUCUUAGUCCCUUUUUAAUGACUUAAAAAGGAACCGAGGCUUCAAGAAGCUGAAGAAAGCUGGUCAGCUGGUCAGAGCCGCAGAGCUAAAGAUUUCAACCUUCGCAGUUUGAGUCCGGAAGCCAAGUUCCAAAUCACUUAAAAACUGUUUGUGAUUUAAAAAGAAUUAAAGGUAUAGGUACUUAAUCAAAAGCAGCCAGAAAAUCACCUGUGACAUUGUCCUUAGUCAAGAAAGACGUCUGUGUGUUUAGAAUCUAAGCUUCAUGAACGGCUUAUGAAGUUGGAAGCUGUUCUGAUUCUCCCAGUAGCACGCCAUCGUGCCUUCACACCAGAUUUUACAAUCAAAUGCCCAACUUUGCUUUGCAGAAUUCUUCAUGUUGAUUUCUUUGAAAACUGCCAGUUAAAACAAUGAGCGGAGUAGCUGAACAAUCGAAGCUGGUGGGAUGAGGAAGACCGGAUUUCCAGGACGAUGCCUCGCUCGUUGAGAAGAUAUGUUACCCAGCUUUCUCUUGCUCCUGAAGACCUGGAAUUUCCCCUCCUAGAGAAAUAUGAACAGCAUGUUUCAAAAUAUGCACUCUUUACCAUUUAAUGAAAAUGAUUCCAUCAAAAUGUUACAAAUUGAAUUAAAUUACUACCCAUUUUUCUUUUUAAACAUGCUUAAUAAUAAAUAAGUUUAUCCAAAGUGAUGUUAUCAUUAUAGAUUCAUUUUCACCCCAUUUCUUUAUAGCACCUUUGUCACAAUCUUCUCAUUAAUAGGCACUCAUGCUUUUCUACAUCGUUGCUAAAGAAAGAAAAAGAAAAAUAUGAAAAUACUGUCAUCAGCAUCUAACUGAAACUUCUCUGGGGAAAGGUAUUUUUAAAAAAGUAUAAUUAUAUUGCUUUUAAUGUCUAAUGAUAAUUCCUUUUAUUUACAGCCAGGCUGCCUCUGGGAAAUUAGUUAUGGAGACACCAAAAUGGCAAUAAAAUUCUGAUUUACUUUUACACAUUUUCAGCCAGUGCGCAACACUCCAAUGGGAUAAAAAAAAGUAUUGUAAAUAUUGUAAAAUGGAUAUUACCCAUUUUACAAGCAAGGAAUCGUAGGCUUAGAAGGGUUUAAGUAAGCUCACAUGCUCACAGCUAGUAAAUGAAAGGGUAUCAACCUGGAUGAUGCUAAUAUGCAUGCUUGUAACUUUUACUUUUUCUCUUCUAAGGAGAAUUCAUUCAAGACUUGGGAAUUACAGAAAUAGCCCACAGAGGAUAAUUCACAUCUGCUCCAAGAGUCAUUACUUCCAGAGCCUGGAGCCCCGAACUCAUCUUCAGGGAUCUUAACUGCUUCUCAGGAGACCCUUGCAAGUCAGGGAUCAACUGAAGCCACCCAUGGAGGAAUGAGUCUUCCUAAAAGUGGGAGUAAAGUCUUCCCCAGUGUGGUAUAGUUCCCAGGGUGCCUAAGUCCUACCUUAGCACCUCACCCAACACACACUGUGGUCUGACGCAAAUGGCCAGGACUGGACUGUUGCAGCUGAACCAGGCCAGGUUCCCAGUGGGGGCUGCUCGCUCUGUGUGUGAAGCCAUCACCCUGUGCAUAGCUCUCUACCAAGCCCAGGACAGUCUUUCUUCUAACCCGAUGUGAAGGAAACCUGCCUUGGCCAACACUCAUAAUCUCCAUGAGAAACACAUAGACAGCGCUAAUACUUUUUUCUGACAUAGGAUACUUUCAAUUUAGCUUUAGGAGAAAAGAAACUCUCUCCCGCCCUUCUGUUGCAUCCUCACUUUAUGGGACUAACCAGAACAUAGACAGCUUGCAUCAUCUGCCUUUGGGUGACUUCCCAGAUUUGAAUAUUGGCUCACAAGUCUUGACUAGCAGUGCCCAGCAGAGGGGACCUCCUAGAACAAAGGGUGACUUUGUUCCCAAGGCAAUCUCCACCCUAGACAGCAAACAUUUUGAAAUCCUGAAACUGACAGUUUCCAACUUCAAAAAAGGUUAACCUCUGCCUGCUCCCAGCGCCCUGUUCCAUAUGGAACACAGCCACACAGAUGCUUAGUGCCAGGCAAGGCAGAAUGGAAAAACCCCUAAGGCUGUGUCUGUCACGCACAAACCAUCUGAUAGAAAUGGAAAGUUGAUUCCAAAAAACUGGUGGUUUCAUGUUGGAGAUCACAAGUACCUGAGGUUCUGUGGAAUUUUCAGUUUUCAUCCAGGGUAGGGGAUGGGUGUUAGAGAGACCCAUGUGGAUGGCUUCUACUUUCCAGAAGUGGUCAGCAGUCCCAUGCAUGAAAGUGUUCCCCCUGACCUUCCAUGGCACUUUGUCUGAACUUCCAGGGUCACUGCCUACCUUCUACUUCAUCCUUAUUUUGGAUGAUAGUACAGCAUAGAGGAAAGAACCAGGCUUCAGGUCUCAGAGAUCGAGGAGGAAUCUCCAUUCUUAUAUGGGUUUUUUUUUGAGGAAGAUUAGCCCUGAACUAACAUCUGCUGCCAAUCCUCCUCUUUUUGCUGAGGAAGACUGACCCUGAGCUAGCAUCUGUGCCCAUCUUCCUCUACUUUAUAUGUGGGACACCUACCACAGCAUGGCUUGCCAAGCGGUGCCAUGUCCAUACCUGGGAUCCGAACCGACAAACCCUGGGCCACAGAAGCAGAACGUGUGAACUUAACCGCUGCGCCACCGGGCCGGCCCCUCCAUUCUGCUUCUUACUAGCUGUGUCAUCUUGAGCAAGUAGCUUUAACAUCCAGAUCCUCAGUUGCCUCAUCUAUUAUUUACAUUUUGAUGAUGGUGAAGAAUAAAUGAGACAAUAUAUGCAGAAUAUUUAGCACACACCUGGCGCGUGGUGGGUGCCCUAGAAAUAGUAUCUUCUCUAUCUGCACUCAGCUUUUAGAGAGCAGGAUUCAUGUUUUAUUAUAUCCACCCCCUUCUCC
rnacentral:lncRNA from 1 species